rnacentral:lncRNA from 1 species
UUUCAUUUAGGCAGAGAGGGAGCCAUAGGAGGAGGCGCUCGAGCGGCGGAGGAGACGAGGCAAUUCGUCGGGUUCAUGGUGUUUGUGAGAUCCCUCUAUCCCCGAGCUUGGGUUUUCUCUUCGAUUCACUGCUCCCCAGGUUAGUUGUUUGUUGUCACUCUCCCUUUCCCCGCGCAAUUUGGUAUGGUUCUGGUCAUGUAGCUUCCAGAUCUAGGUCUCGGGGUUUUGUUGGUGCGUUGUUGUUGUAGGUCCUAUUGCUGUUUGAUGAUUUUAGUGGUUGGUUAGUGCGAUUUGUUGUUAGCCAAUGCUCAUUUGUGCAGUUCGUCGCAGAUCCCCUCUUCUCCGCGGAUCCCCUCUGCUCGCGCCAGUUCGUCAUGGAGAACGUCUGCUCCGGUGUUAGGUUUCAGAUUUGAUCUCCUCGUUGUGGGCACUAUUAGGUUGUGUGUUGAUGUGUUUGUCUUCCGAUGGGGUUAGAUUUUGUGUUUUUUCAUGUGUGUAGGCGUGUCUCUGUGUGUGAUUCAGAGCUUUUGCAGUUGAAGUACAGUCAUCUGGUGGUUGUUUAGUGUUUGAUUGCUACUAAUCUGUUUUGAUUGCUACUGAGACUUUGCAGUUUGAUGUUCAGUCAUCUGGUAGUUGUUUAGUGUUUUGAUUGCAAGUAGAAACAUGGGAAGAGAAUGAAUUUCUCUGGUGUGGUAGUAUAGGGAUUCCCCUUUCUUGUUGAUUGCUUGGUCCAGUUUGGCUAGCUAUGAAUUACACUGUAAUACCCCCAGAUUUAUACUGAUAUGCUUCUAUGAUUUACACUGUAUUUGUAGCUCUGAUUUUACAUUUAUAAUCCCUAUAGUUUUACUUUUGUAAGAUCUUAUAUGUAAUGUGUCUCUGAACCCCAGUUUUUAUGAUGUGAAGUUUUUCUGAAUUUCUGUGUAUUGCAUCUCUGAAGUACACUGUAAGACGCUGUAAUUGCACUGUAACUUCUUGUGGUUUUUGCAAUGCAAUCCUCUAGAUUACCCCACUGUAAUUCUUGUGCUUUUGGACUGUAACCCCCUAGAGUUACACUGUAGUGCCCAUUAGCCCUAUUUUGCACUGUACUUUCUUCAGAGUUUUCACUGUAAUUCUUGCCUUGCUUACUAUGUAAAUUGCAUCAGCAUUACAGUGUAAUUUCCAUAGUUUUUUUUACUGUAAUUUGCAUCAGUUAUUACACUGUAAUUCUUGCCUUGAUUACACUGUAAUACCUGCCUUGAUUACACUGUAAUUCUUGCCUUGAUUACACUGUAAUUCAUGCCUUGAUUUACAGUGGAAAGCCCCUCCGGGUUACUAUAUAAUUCUGAGUAUUUUUACUGUGUUAGUUUGCUUAGUUUUUUGUAGUUUACUGCCUCAGUUUACACUGUAAGUUGGAUCAUUAUUACUGUGUAAGCUGGAUCAGUAUUACAGUGCAUGUCUUGUUUACUCUGUAUUUUUUAUCAGUAUUACAGUGUAGUGUAAUUUGGUUUCCUGCCUUGAUUUUACGAUGUAGUUUGCAUAAGUUUUACCGUGUAAUUUCCCUAGUUUUAUUUUUUGUGUAAUUCCUGCCUUGAUUUUACUAUUUUGGAUCAGUAUUAUUAGUUACUUCUCUGUAGUUUUCAGCUUCAUUAUCUAUGGGGAGGCUACGGAAAGUCUCUCACAAGGAUGUUCUGGAAGCAUCUUCUAUUGAGAGUGCAGAUCCUUUGCAAGACCCCUUCGUGCCUAAUGACUUUGCGGAAGAUGGUUCUAAUUGUUGUAGGGCUUACACUGUAAUAUACCAGAGUUUUACCCUGUAAUAUGGUUGAGCACUGUAAUUGUUGUAGGGCUUGUACUGUAAUUUACCAGAGUUUUACACUGUAAUUGUUGUAGGGCUUACAAUAUUUGUCAGAUACAUUACAAUGGAUUUUACCUUUGAAUUGUGGGACUUACACUGUAAUAUACUGCAGAUUUACACUGUAAUUUGAAUAAUCCAGCACUGUAAUUGUUGUAGGGCUUACAGAGUAUUUUUCAGAUAGAUCAUAGUGGAUUUUACGUCUAAUUUUACGGUGUAUUUAUGAGUGUUGAUACCUGGGAAUGACAGUGUAAUUUCAGGGGAUUUACAGUGUAAUUCGUGGGCACUUUGACUGUAAUUCGUGGGUGUUUACAGUGUAACUUCAUCAGUUAUUCAAGUGUAAAUCCUUGGGACUUGCAGUGUCAUUUCCUUUGUAUUUACAGUGUAAAUCCAUUGUAUGCUUUUUCAGAGUUUGCACUUUAAUUUUCAGUUAUAAGGAUUUGCAGUGUAAUUUCUAUUGUUUUGCUAUUGUAAUUUUUGGUAUUAGACUGCAAAAUUUCUGUAAUUCCAGAGUUUUAUAAUUGCUAGCGAUCACACAUUCCACAGUUUCCUGUUGUCUCUGCAAUUUCUUUGUAACUAGUUUCCUAUUGUAAUCUUUGUAACUAGUUUCUCUGAUGUUUCUAGGUGAAGCGGGGCGAAGGGGAUGAAGAAUUUGUGAAGCUGGUGAAGGGGGUCAAGAAUUGGAAUAGGAUUUACGAGUGUUCCUGACCUGUAGAUUGUCCGGUGAAUUUUUAGCUGUUGUUCCUCGACGGGGUCAUGGUCCAGGUUUAGUUGACUCAGGUUUAUUUCCUGACCCGUUUUAUUUGAAAUUCAGUGACAGACAGUGCCCGUGGGGGGUGGUUUUGGACAUAAAGUGGCAUCUGCUUAUUAAUCAGGAUACUUGAAUGUUUUCCAAUUGUAAAACAGUCAAAUGCUAAAUAGAUAGUCCCAAAAACAAACGAUGUUGAAAUAUAUUGUCCGCCUCUCUUCAUCAGUUCAAAUUUUUGAAUAAAUUGCUUGGAG